rnacentral:rRNA from 1 species
CAGUCGCCACGGUAAUACGUAGGGUGCAAGCGUUAAUCGGAAUUACUGGGCGUAAAGCGUGCGCAGGCGGUUUGUUAAGACAGAUGUGAAAUCCCCGGGCUCAACCUGGGAACUGCAUUUGUGACUGGCAAGCUAGAGUGUGGCAGAGGGGGGUGGAAUUCCGCGUGUAGCAGUGAAAUGCGUAGAUAUGCGGAGGAAUACCGAUGGCGAAGGCAGCCCCCUGGGCCAAUACUGACGCUCAUGCACGAAAGCGUGGGGAGCAAACAGGAUUAGAUACCCCCGUAGUCCCUGUCUCUUAUAC